GACUGUGACACCCGGAAAGCUUGGAUUGACUUGUCCAAGACCUAUCACUAAUAGGUGGUGAAACGGGGAUCCUAGGCUCUCUGAUCCCAAACCCAUGCCUUUCAGAACAUUAUUCUGCACUACUUACUCUUUUCAUCAUUUUCUGUGUAUAGAAGGUUGAUAUUUUCCCCCUUCAUGUAGCUGUCUCUUCCCCUCCCCCAUCCCAAUCUCAGGAGAGACUUGGUAUCUGUCACUUACACCUGAAUUUAGUGCAUGUGCCAACUUUCCUAAGGGGCUUGGCACUUCCAAGUCUUCUCAAGGAUAGCAUCCAGAUGUCCAUCUGGACAUCUAAGGGGGAGAAGGGGUAGAUAUGUAUUUCCCUUAGGGGAUGUGGCAUUGUCUACUCACUCUUGGGGACUUUGUGGGAAGUCACCCCACCUCCACCUUCUAAGUAAGGCAAGUCAGGCUGCUCUCCACCAGCAGUGCCACUCCUGGUCAUCCCCAGCCCAUUGUGCAGGAUGGGUCUGAGCUGCACUUGGAGUUAGGCUGGACACAGAUGGUGAGGUCACCCAGGCUGGGUGCCGUGACCCCCAGAGGUGCUGCAGGAGGCAGUGAGUGACAUUCCAGAUCCAGGUUCACUUCAGGGAAUAAAAAUGGAGAUACCUUCCCCGGUUCCCUUAGGGCUGCUGUCAGGUGAGCUUUGAGAUUCCUGUCCACGCUGACAAGGUUAGCAAGCCAUGGACUGGGUUUUCUUAACCAACAGGUGCACGCACAUGUGUGUGGUUAGUGGACAGAGAAUCAGACAGAUCGGGGAUCAAGAUUGUGCUCUUCUUCCUGUACAAUUGGACUUGUGUAAACCAUAAAUGCUGAGCCUCCAUCACGUAGUUUGAGCCCUGGUAAAACAAAAGUAACAACCUACCUCAGCUGACUUUUGGGAAUGCACUGAGGUAGGAGAGGUGAUAAUACCCAGCACCUCUCUGGCACACAGUAAAUGCUUAAUAAAUUAAGCAGUCCUCCUGUCACAGAUUGUCUUGCGCCUUCGACAAAUACCUUCUUGCUGUUCUCAAGGAGUACAUGUGUGGGGAUGGUAUCUAGAAGCAUCUACAUAGUCUCAGUGAAACUAGAAGGCCCCCAGUUCCUGUUUUGUAUGGGAUCCCUAAGUGUAUGUCAGCAGAGGUCUUCAGUUCAGGGCCUGAUAAAACCUGCCCUUGGUAUGCCUGGGCACAUGUGUAGCACUUUUUUCUCUGCCUGUUUUUUUUUCUUUCCUUGAUGUUUUUGUUCAGUUUGGAUUUUGGUCUAUUUUCUGAAACAUUUGCAUCUCGUGUGCUUGCUGUGGAAGUGCUGAAUCAUUUUGUUUUGCCUUGGAUGCACAGGGCAAGGUGGUCCCCACACUGUAGCUGUUUCUGUGUGGAUGGCAGACAGGCUACAGUGACAGAACACAGCCAACAAGGAAGAUUUAUUAGGUUUUGGAGUGUGUCUUCUAUGGGGAGGCAAGAAGGCACCAGCAUGCAAUACGUAUAAAACCAAAAUAGAAAAUGCAGUACUUAGUUGAACUUCAACACAGAAAAAUGGACAAGAUGACUUCAUUUACUCAACAAAUACCUCAUCCAACCUUACUCCAUCCUACUUCAUGUCCCUUGUCUAUUUAGCAAGGCCCUAGAAUUACAAAGAUGGACAUUAGCUUCGUUCCCUUAAGGAAGUUUUAGUCUAUAAAAUAAGAGACAUUCAGACAGAUGUAUUUUCUCGUAUAAGACAGUAAGUUCCGGUUCAAAGGUAAGAGUAGAGUGUCACAGGGAUACUGAUAAUUGAGUAAUGUGAGGAGGCCCUCCUGAGAAGGAGGCCUUCUUGAGGUGAAGACUUUCCUGAGCAGGAGGACUAUCUGAGAAGGAGGCCUCCUUGAAGAGAAAGACUUUCCUAAAGAGGAGGCCUGUCUGAGGAGGAGGCCUUUUUGAGGAGAAGACCUUGUGAGCAGGAGGAGGCCUGUCUGAGGAGGCCUUCUUAAGUAGAAGAAUUUCCUGAGCAGGAGGUCUGUCUGAGGAGGAAGCCUAUCUGAGGAGGGGGCAUUCUCCAGGAGAAGACUUUCCUGAAGAGGAGGAGGCCUCUUUGAGAAGGAAGCUUUCUGAGGUAGAAGUGUUGUAAUUGAAGUGAGAAAACUUGUUAGGCACAGAAGGGCGGGAAGGCUGUUUCAGGCAGAAGGAAUGGUGUAUGCACAGGCUUGGCCAGGAAGCAUGAGGAGAGAGCAGCUGGGCCCCAGUUAGGGCUUGAGUCUUGAAAAGUGGUUUCCAGCCAGGUUGAUGGCAUCUGUCCCAUCUUACAGUAUAUCUUGUUCUCAUAUCUUUUUCCUCUCCUUCCCAUCGGACUCAGACACUGAAUAUCGAUCAGUAACACAUCUCUAGUUGAGGGAUCAUCUAUGUUCACCACCAGCUAAUCCACGUUCAAUGCAGUCACAUUCAGUAGGAAUCAGUAGUUGAACACAGUACAAUACAUUUCCCCAAGAGGCAGGCAGCAGGUAGUAAGAUGGGAAGAAUGAGGGCUUUGCAAUGAGAUAGACCAGGUUUAGUGCCCGCCUCUCAUGCUGAGCCACGUAACUUUGGCAACUUUGGCGAGUGAUUGAAGCUCAGCGGGAAUGUGUUCUCGCAUAUGGAAAUGAGCGUGACAAGAUAGUCCCUCUACCUAUGAGAAUAAUCUUUUCUGCUGAUGAGCCUACCAUGUUGCAGGCACUUUGUUUGGGGAGAUUGCUACCCUAUUGCUAUUUCUCCCAAAGGAAGGAUAAGCACCCCAAUUUACGGACAAGGAAGCUGAGUGUCGGAGAGAUCAUUCAUGCAAGGUCAGCAAGUGGCUUCGUAUCCGUAUCUACCUGGCUCUGAAAUGUUGCAACACCAUUGUACAACUGCAUUCCAUUUGAGGAGCAAUGAGAAGUACAUCUGCUUCUGGCACUUUGCAAGUGCUGAGGAAGUUUGCUCACUGAAGCUCCCCCACUUCAAUAUGAUGUAGAAGUCUGGAUCGCCCAGGGGCUCACUGUUUUGUGGGCUCAUCCCCAUGGCUCCCUGCUGUUGAUAUUCUUAGGACCUCUGCUCCUGGGCCAGUUGGCCUCUCUCAGCCACCUCCGGUAGAGGUGUGACUGCUUUGUUUCUAUUAAUGGGGUAGGGCUGUCAUCCUGGGAUGCUCCAUUAUUGUGUAAGUGGAGACGAGGCCUGUUAGUCCAAUCGGAGAGGAAUCUUGAAAAAUAUGCUGCCAGAGUGUUCCUGUACCCAAAAAUGUUUCCCAGGUUGGAUUGUCCUAGACCUGAAACCUCAAUAGCAAAAGUCACUUACAUGUUGAACAAAUAUGUUACCUACUCAGAUAUUACUGAGGAUGAACCAGAUAUUAUUGAAGAUGCCCGGGGGAGUAAAUAAUAAUCUUUGACUCAACAGAGCUUCCAAAAGGAAGUGGAACCAUCUGCCCAAAAUCCUGGAUGAGGACUGAAGGCCUGCAGAGGUGGGAACAGGUUCAGGAAAGCUUCAUUGGAAGAGCCAAGAAGAAAUGUAAUUCUUAAAAGCUUUUUUGGCGAGGGAUGCGUUUUCACUGGUUAAGACACUGUGUGACUUGGGAGAAGAUGUGCGGGGGAAGAACGCUGGGCGAGGGUCAGGAGCCUGACCUUUCCUUUCCUGUUCCCCCACUUGCUAAUUAAUAUACCAGACAUGUCGCCUCACCUCUUGGAGCCCUGCCUUCUCUUCUCCGAAAAGAUAGGAGAUUAGAAUAGAUCUUCCAUCGGCUCUUUCACAGGAAAUACUCUGAGUCUAUUAAGCAGCUUACUCAUUAACAGAGAUGGGUUUAUCUGAUUAAAACCCUUCACUGGCUAUCCUCAGAGUGCAGAGCUCUGAGAAAAAGAAACCCGGGACAAAUAAGAAAUUUGGCCUGUAUGUGUAUUUCCCCGUGCCCAGUGCAUGUGUGCAUGUAUGUGCGUGCGCGAGCACAUCCAUGCAGAUGCACAUACUUUCAGAGGUGACUUUGCAUUUGAACAUGGGGAGGCAAACCCAGCUAUGUGAGUACAACUUGCCGUGAUUCUUCAGCAGCAGGCAUCUGAUGGCACCCAGAGAGGACUCCCAAGUGAUAGGGUGGUGCAAAAAAAAAAAAAAAAAAAAAAAAAAAAGGUAUUGGAAGACCUCAGAGAGAAGCUGCAACUUCCAAGUACUGCCCAGGGCAGGCCUGAGUGUUUUCGUAGAAAAGCCUCCUGACCUGGGGAUUAGCUGAGCGACAUCAGCCUCAGUUGCUGCAGAAGGUAGAAGAUAAAGCUUAGGAUGAGGAGUUUCAUAUCUUAAGGCCGAUACCACAUUCAUCCUCGUUGGAGCACAUUUGUCCUGCCUGUGUCUGACCCUGCUGAGAAGUUGGUUCAGAAAACAGUGCUUCAUUCUUCCAGAUUAACUGAAUAAGCAUCCAUGCCAUCAGUUAAAAUACGGCCCUGUUGUCCCCCUAUCUGCCAGGGGAGAAGGCCCCAGGGCACUCCCCUUCCUUCCUGCAGAGCUGCAGUCUUCCUGGAAACGGUGGCUUUCCCUGUGAGCCCCACCAGCCUGAACCAGCCUGAACUCCAGUUCACACACAAGUCCAAGGAAUCCUCUAACCCAGGAAGAACCUCAGCAAUGGGGAUUGGUGUGUAUUUACCCGUGUUUGUGUGUGGGUCAUUGGUAGCUCACAAUAUCACCAGUUUGUGAGUACCUGCUGUGCAUAUGGAGGCACUGUGUCCCAGAUGGCAAGGUUCCUGGGAGCUGCACAGGCCAUGCCUGGCAGGGCACACAGAUCAAAACUGGCGGAAACACACCCCUUGCUUCCCUCCCAAGGCAGACAUCGACUUUUCCUUCCCCAAGGCACACACAGCUUUAUUUAAAGCUUACCUGUAGCCAGUCAUUUUCUCACAUGUCACAUUUGCCUGAGGCUGUGUACACGCCAGGAUUGUCUUAAAUCCGCUACAUCAGGUGGCAUUGUUUGGACACCUGGGGAUUAUUGGGGGACCUCCAAGGAAAUGGGGAGUGGGGUGCAAAUGCCUGUGGGAUGUCUGAGAUGUCAUUACUGACAUGGUAGUGAUGGCAGGGGCAGCCGGCCACCACCCCACUCCACCCCCCAAAAAGCAGCUUUCAUUCACCUCCCAAUUCUGUAUCCACACUCAGCAAAUAAUUCAGGUUUUUAAAAACAACUUGGCAGCUGCUGUGUGUUCUGUCUCUGCAAACUGCCUCCAGGACUCACUUUCCAACAAAGGCAUAAGCAAUGCAUGGGAGGCACAUACAUGUGAGAUAGUAUCGAAUAUUUAAAAUUUAAUCAUUGGUGUGGUUAUUUCUCCUCCUAAAAGGUUAUCGAAAUAAGUACUAUGUCAUCUGCAGCUUGUUCCCACAUCCUGCACAGUGGUGCUCACCGUCUGUGCCUCACACCCCUACAAGCACAGCACACACUGCUGGGACAUCCCCAGGUAGUCUUCUUGGGCUUCCAUAAGUAAGUACCACAGCCUGGGUGACUUAGAUGGCAGACACUGAUUUUUCUCAGUUCUGGAGGCUGGAAGCCCAAGAUCAGGGUGUUAGCAAAUUUGGUUUCUGGAGAGGUUCUCUGCCUGGCUCGUAGAUAGCCACCCCUCACUCUGUCCUCAUAUGACCUUCCUUCCAGGAGAAUGAGCUCUCUGCUCUCUCUUCUUUUAGGCCACGCCAAGUAUCAGAUCAGGGUCCCACCCUUAAACCUCAUUUGACCUUAGCUACUUUCUUAGAGGCUCCAUCUCCAAAAUGCAGCCACACUAGGGGGUUGGGACUGCAGUGUAUGAAUUUGGUGGGGAGGACACAAAUGUCCAGUUCCUAACAACCCCCCAUUCCAGCAUGGAAACUCGUGGCUCAGAAUCCCACACGUUGUCAGACUCCUCCAAGUUUAAAAAACAGGGUCUGUCCUCUGGAAACCUGAGAUCCAUCUUUAGUGAUCUGUACUUCUGAGUGGGGUGUUUGGCACCAUGACCCUGAAUCCACUUUUGUCCAGGAGAAUAAGGAUGCUUUCCCUUCCUGCUGAUUCUUUGGAGUCAGACGUGCUUGGAAUUGCAUCUCAGCCACUCACUAAGCUGUGACCAUGGAAAGUAACUGUCUGAGCCUCGGCUGUCCAAUCCACAAAACAAGAAUACUCCUACUGAUCAUAACAUGAUGACAGGUGAAAAAAGAUCCAUGAAAUCUCCUUGCAGAGAGCAAGACAUGUAUACUGGGUAUUUAACUGUCCCUUGUCCCUUUGCUUCCCUGUGCGUGCCCUCCCUUCCCCCCUUACUCAGGGUCAGCAUCCAACUUUAAUUACCUGUGUAUUCUAUGUUUUUCCUGUGCCCAGUGCUAGUCAGGAGCAUGAUCGGGGCCUCACCAUGUCUGAAUAAUGGGAGUAUUUUCAGACCCCGAAUCCAGAAUCCCAAACAGAUGGUCUCACAAGUAUAGGUGGGCAUAAUGGGUCAGGAUAUGAGAAAUGGGGAUUGCUUUGGGACAUCCAGUGCCUGUAGUGGCCUAUAGUGGAUAGCUGCUUCUUCCCUCUUCUCCAAACCAACACAAACACACACACACACACACACACACA